CAGAGUGCUGAAGUUUAAAGUUGAUACUUCUCAGUUCCUAGGUGUCUACCUGGAAAAUCUAGAUGAAGACUUGCAAGAAGAACAGUUCAGAGAAUAUCUAGAUAAUUUUGGCAGUAGCUUCUAUUUAACAUGUUGCAUCAUUUUUGCCUUCUGGAUUGGUGACAUAUGUAUGCAGUGAUGUGCUUUGAGUUUAAAAGCUUUGUCUGGAACUUCUAGAGUGGACACAUUUUUCUUUUAAUUCCAAAUGGAAGGUAUUAAAACAGUUCAGCUUCUCAUAUUUGUUCAUUACAAAGCCCUGUGCUUCUAGCACUAAACAUUGUACCCUAUGCAUAAGCAUUUUUGCCAGUAUUUUUAUUGAAAUAAUGACAGGUGGGUCAAAGGCAGUCAGAGGACUUGUGUGUAUGUUUUAGAACCUUUUUGAGUUUUUUUCCUUGAUUCUUAAAGAAAGUGCAAUCGCUUCUGCCAUUUUCUGUGGCCCUUGCUGGUCCUCUUCUUUGUGCAAGCAGCUGCUCUCAUUUGCCUCCUUCAGCAACCAUCAGGCUUUGUCUCAGGCUGCUGCCUAGCUCCAGUAAUUAUAAUAAAUUCUUUACAGUUUUGGAUUCAGAAAAUAAGAUCUUCAGUCAUUGGGCAGUAGUUGAGAUGGAACAAAUGGCUAAUAGAAAUGGGUUAAUAUUUAAUUUUUAUUCCAGUGGUUUUACUUUGAAGCCUUGUAUGAUGGUGUUCAAUAAUGAAUAUUUCUCUGUAUCUUCAAGUAUUUUUUGCAUAGAAGACAUGGUAUAUUAGAAUUCGGGAGGAACUGCAUUUCAGUUAAACCUCCCUGGAGAUCUCUGAGAGCUACUCGAAGCUGAAGUACCACCAAGUGAAACAGUAAUCAGUGGGUCAUCAGUAUAAAUGUUCUUGGUCAGUUUGGGAAGGAACAGUUCAUGUUGAAGCAAGACUUGGAAAAUGGGCCAAGCAAGAGUCACUGAACAAUAUGGGCAUUAGGCAUAGGUUCACUGAGGCCAUGCUUGUUUGGGGAAAAAUGCAGAUGAACAGAGGAAAUGGACAGGAGAAGCCUAGCUGGGUCCUUGCAACUCUGGAACUUGGGAGAUAAUGCAAACCAAAUGAAUCCUAAAAGUUCAUCUGAUUUGUUUGCUGUGUAAGAGAAAAUUAAAGCAGUCUGAAUAUACAUGUAAGCUGUACGUGUUCUAUUAUAUUUCUUCAUUCACUUAAGAAGGUUGCUGGCUUUUAUUUUUAGCUAAAAAAAUGCUUGAAGGUAAGAUUACUAAAUGCUGGUAAUGAGCUGUUAUAAAUUGAUGGGCUGUUUCCUGGUUCCAACCUGAGCAUAAUAGUUGAACUUCGAAAGAGAUGAGGGUGAUUUAAGACAGGGCACAGGUGAAAUUAUCCCUAUGGUCUUGAUGUGCUGUUGACUUCUGAAUGUACAAGAUUUAUUUUA